UAUAUUUAGCAUAUUUAGUCUGCUGUCUGCUGUAUAGUGUAUAGCACUUUAUAGUCUUAUUGAGAGUUGAGUCUUCAAGUCAAUACAUCAGUCAAUAUGUUGAGCUUAUUACGUCAGCCAUUCAUAAAAUCUGUUAAAAUCGCACAGUUUGCUGUUAAAAAUUUUUCGCAACCGAUCCCAAAAGUACUUCAAAGAUCAUAUCGAAUAUCUCAAAGACAAGUUGAGUCCUACACGAACCAUCACCACGUAACCAUGCAACAAUGCAAUUUUUUCCUUUGGUUCUUGUUCUUCUUCUUCUUAAUCCAGUUUGUACCAGAACAAAAGUCAACAAACAAAAAGACAACAAACCAAAAGUCA